rnacentral:rRNA from 1 species
GAUGAACGCUAGCGAUAGGCUUAACACAUGCAAGUCGAGGGGCAGCAUGAUCUUAGCUUGCUAAGGUCGAUGGCGACCGGCGCACGGGUGCGUAACGCGUAUGCAACUUGCCUUACAGAGAGGGAUAACCCGUUGAAAGACGGACUAAAACCGCAUACACUUGUAUUAUUGCAUGAUAUUACAAGGAAAUAUUUAUAGCUGUAAGAUAGGCAUGCGUCCCAUUAGCUGGUUGGUGAGGUAACGGCUCACCAAGGCGACGAUGGGUAGGGGAACUGAGAGGUUUAUCCCCCACACUGGUACUGAGACACGGACCAGACUCCUACGGGAGGCAGCAGUGAGGAAUAUUGGUCAAUGGGCGAGAGCCUGAACCAGCCAAGUCGCGUGAAGGAAGACAGUCCUAAGGAUUGUAAACUUCUUUUAUACGGGAAUAACGGGCGAUACGAGUAUUGCAUUGA